GGUUUGAUACGGGCGGUAAGUACGGAAGGGAGGAAUGUCGGUUAAUUCCUCUAAUUUUAUAGAGAGAUGAUAAUAUUUUCUCAUCCAUAUUAACACAAUAGUGACCACAUGACCUUUCUGAAAUAGUCUGGAGCUCAUCAAAUACACCAGGCGAGGACCCCACUCACUUGGUAUCCGCAGUGCGGAAAGAACUGGUCACAGCAUGCGACGCAACUCUGCGUAGAACAGUACACCACAACAAACGUAAACCAGCCUAUUGGUAGAAUGAAGAAAUAGAUACGCUCAGAAAGGUCUGUAUUGCAGCUAGACACCGUCUACAACGUUAUCAAUGUGGGAAAGUGCAAACAGUCUCGGAGAAAUGUUUAAAGCACAAAAGAAGCUUCUAAAGUCAGCCAUUGCCCGCAGCAUAAGGAACUGUUUUGAAAAGCUCUGUGAGGAAGCUCACGUAGACCCUUGGAGUAUGGCUAUUUCAAAAUUCAAAAAAUAAGACACAACAAUCAAAAAGCGUAUAUCUAAGAAACAUUAUUCCCAAAAUACCAUCUGAUUUCCUAUGCUAAACAGCGAACCGAAGUUGUAGAGCCACCGCUACUAGUUAGUGAAGAAGAAAUAUUGGCCAUAGUGGGAAAAAUAAAAAGCAUCAAAGCGCCUGGUAUAGAUGGCAUACCAACUAGAGCCUUAAAGGAGACCAUGAAUUUAAAACCAAAUGUGUUCGCACAAAUGUACAAUGCGUGCUUAAAGGAAAGGAUAUUCAAUGAAAACUUCAGCGAUUGGCCGGCGGAAUAUCAGAAAGACAAUUCGGCCUUAUAAAAAAUAGGUCCACUAUUGACGUACUAAACAAUGUCGUUGAAACUGCGAAAUGCGCUGUAAGUAGUAAAAGAUGGAAAGGCAUGACUAAAAAAUAUUGCGCGCUGAUCACCCUGAAUGUGAAGAAUACCUCCAACUCUGCAAAAUGGGCAAACAUAAUCAAGGCCCUGUAUGAAAUAUGCGCUCCUCAAUAUCUUGUAAACGCUAUUAUAAGUUAUUUUGAAAACAGACGUUUAUUAUUCGACACUGAUGAAGGCAUCAAAAUGUACUAUAUUUCGAGUGGAGUACCGCAAGGCUCGGUUUAGGUCCCCUUCUAUGGAGCCUAAAGUAUAAUGGGGUGCUAAGGAGAUACCAGCCAAAACCUGUGAAAUUAAUCGGGUACGCGGACGACCUUAUAGUGGUAGCAGUGGCUAAACACCUAGACAGCAACGGUGGGAAACCUUACCGGACAGCCAUUCGUGGAUAGCCAGAUGACAUGGGGUUCUGGAUUUUCACCUGACCCAAAUAUUGAGGGGACAUGGGUGCCUUAGAAGCUACCUGUACAGAUUCCAUUGCGACAUUAGUCCGAACUGUCCGACGUGUACAGAGUUCCCACUAGGCACGUUUUAAAAAAGAUUAAACCUAAUUUCAUUACUGAUGAUCUUUUCAGACUUAAUAAUUACAUUAAAUAUCUUAAGUGAAUGUAAUGAGGCAUCGUUUGUUCAAGGGAAUGCACACGUAUCUAUGCAGUACUGCAUAUUUUAACCCGAAGUAAAUGUUUCGUAAUAUUGUAAUUACUACACCCUCCGCUCACCUUUUGUUUACUUGUAUUGGUUUAUAGCUUUAAAUUUAACAAAAAGUUCUGAUAAAAAUAACCGUUGACAAUUGAUAAUACAAGUGGUUGAAUCUUUAAUAAAUGAACCUAACCUCAAAAAAUAAUUAAGACCGGUGUCAUUAGGAGCUUAUGUACAUAUGUAUAUCAAUGAUUCCAUUGGAGGUAUUUCUCUAUCUCUGUAACCAAAUAAAUAUUGUGAAAAAUUUUGCAAUAGCGUCACCUAUCGAGGCAAUAAGAGAGUUCCAUUAUAUUUUGAUAUUUUAUUAAUUUAUAAAUAUAUUAUCAUUAAAAAGUCAUAGCAUGAGGUCUCUAUAAAAAGAUUUUACUUCGUCAGCUCAGCAAUAUUCCAUAUGUGUGUAUUGGAGAUUGGUAAAUGUUCACCUUUUAUCCUCACCCAUUUAAGGCCUAUUUGCCUAUUUAUCUUCUUACCGUGAGUUCUCUGCGCAUAUCACUUUCGUGAACAUAAUAUAUACAUAAGUACUUGUAUAUAUUUAUUUGUUCAUUCAGCCGUGUUUUUCACACAAACACAGAAAUAAAAGUACGUCGCUGGCCUAGGGGCCUAAGACUAUGGCUAUCCUCCCCCACUUCCUUUGGCAGGUUCAAAUUUUGCCAUCUCAACUGUCUAUAAGUCCGCUAUAUCGACGUUAAUUUGUUCACUUGUCUGCUGCGCUGGUGACCGUUAACUUUUGCUUGAUGCAGAUUCACAUGGGUCACUCCAUUAAAUGUUAUGUAUACACAGUAAUAAUUGUUUUGUGGGCCGCUGUUAUUGUUAUCAAUAUUAUUUGUUUGUGCUAUGUUGUUUGCUAUUGUUGUUGCAUGUAAUAUGCGGUGAGCUUCUUGUUUCAACGUCAACUUCUGGUUUUGACAUUUUAUGGAUUAUUUCAAUUUAGUUGAAAGCCACUACACGCAUCAACGCAUUUGCACACAAAUUCGCACAUUUGUUCUAAUACUGUUUUAAGAGCGUACACACCCUCUAAGGCUAUAUCAAGUUAUUCAGAGUCUUCCUUCUGAACUAAAAACUCAAUCAUAUUAAAUACUUAAUAAUAAAAAGCAUCGUUUGAAACUUCUCUGAUCAAUAUAAGUACAUAUGUAUGUAUGUAUGUAUGUAUUUGGAACUUGAUAUUCUGUGACAUGUGAAAUUAUCUAGCGAAGUCAAAUUGGUGAAUAUAAUACAAGAGAGAAUGUGGUUUCUCAUUAAAAUAUUCUAAUUUCUUUCUCUAUAUACAUUUUUUGAUAUUUAUUGAAAAAAUUAGGUCUCGACUAAUUUCAAGUCUUCUUCAAAAUUUUUUAAAUUAUUUUCCUAUAGGGUACCUGGCUUGUGUUCUUGUCUGUAACAGCAUCUAUAAUAUAUGAGAAGUGUGAUAGAGGCCAAGGAGAACAUACAUACAUACAUAGCUAGUCGACUAGAACUCGGCGAUUGCUGCUUGUUGACAUUUAAUUUGAUACAGGAACAGAAGUAAAACGAAAAAAAUAACACAAAACUCGAUUGCAUUCCUCGUUUUAAUAACAGGUUUGGAGAUAGCAAAAACUUUAUGAGGUCUAAACAUGUUAUUUACUUUUGAAUAUCUCUGAACCAUAUUGAUAAAUUCAACCAAAAUCGUGUUCUGUGUGUAUUCGUUACAUAAUGGUUGUGAAAUGACUAAAGGAGACGAAGGCAAGAAAUAAUUAUACAAUAAUAGUCAACGAAAAGAGAAAUAUUAAGAACCAUAAUUAAGAAAUCAAUGAGGAGGACGAUAAAACUGACUAUUUCACAGACGGAAGCAAAAAUUAACCCAUUCUCAUCUCAAAUCAUUCACAUUUCUUUUAAAAAGUCUUCAUAUUUUUGUAAUCUGUGUAAAAUUGUAGUCGAUCUGUUUAAUUUUGAAGUAUUCGAAAGAGCGAGUUCUAGGAUCAAAUUUCCUUCCAGGUUUUAGUAAGAAUACAAAAAUUUGUUUCGCCUAGUUUCUUUGUAUAUAACUAAUAAAUCAGAACCCUAACCUUUGCAUUUCCUUUAAUGAUGAUAGUAUUUGUACGACUAAAAUAUUUAAUAUUCGAACAAUGUCUGCUUGUUUAGAAAGCUAAAAUAUGGUAGUCGGUUAUGAAUAAUGGAACAAUUUUUCCUUGUUAAUAGAAGUAAGAUAAUGUUUUUUGUCAUUAUGCUUUGGUCUUAAUUGUAUUGUGAUCAAUGAUGAUUGAAUAAUGAGCUUGAUUAAUGUAUUAGUAAUACUAGUAAAUUUAUUAUUAUAGUUAAAUAAUCAACAAAUAUUUGAGUAAAAGAAUUUAUUUGUAAAAUUUUAAAGUUAUGGCGAUGUUCUUGCAUAGCCUAAGGUCCUACUACUUUGAGGUAAAUUGAAUGAAGCUGUUAGAAAAAGCUGUAUUUUAAUAAAAAUAUUGGAUCAAUGUAAAAUAGGCAUCGCUCACUCAGUAGUUAAAAGCAAAUAUCCUAAAAACUUCCUAAUGGACAAUAUUUAUAGUUUUUUGUUAAUUGCUGUGAAAUUAAUUCAUACAAGGAAAAAAGAGUUGUUACAAAUAAUGUUGAAUAUCGCUAUGAUUAAACCUGUUCACAAAAACAGCCCUGGAGAAAAAUUUUUAACCAGUGUUGAUUUGGAGACAGAUAACAUCUUUCACGGAAAAUUGUAAAGUCCUUUUUGUUCUGGGUGUGAGCUAUAUUUUAAUAGAGUAUAUGUUAUUUAUGCAGAAGGUUAUGGUGGCACGACAUGGGGUAUAUUUACUUGUGAUUUAGUACUGUUCCAGGAGCAUCACGUAUUACUAGCCCAGUGAAGUCAAUGUUAUAAGGUCCCCAUAUUUAGUAGACUCGUUACCUUAGAUUUAGGUCUUUGUGUUGAGGCUUGGCUUAAAAAUAAUUUUGUACUUUUCGAAUUGUUUACAUUACUUUGUUUAAAAACUCAUUAUUAGUUACCCCGAACUUGGCUACAACCCAGUAAAGCUAAAAAAAACAAUAAUUGUCAAAAUUUUACAAUGUAUUAUUUCUCGACUAGUCUGCUUCGAGAUUCCUCCACGGUAUGAAUGUUGGUGACACUUAUGGUAAUGAACGACUACUUGUUUAUUGAAGAAUAUCAAUUCUAUAUUAUACUUGCGUAUUCGUGAAGGUUCUGCUAUCCUGAAUUCACCCUUGGCUUUUGACUUCUGUCAAUAACUUUCACAUAUUAGUUAUUGAUGUAUGUAUGUACGAGUAUUCAUAUGUAUUUUCGUGUGGGUAACUUUUAUUCAAAGUCUUAAAUUCAACAAAUAAGCCAUUUUGUUCUGCAAAAUACUCUCACACAAACACACACACGCAAAUGGAACCAGAGACAUGAAUUGUCUUGGUAACUGCGUAUUUCAUUAAAUAUUUUACGCACACACUUCUAAGCCCUUGAUACACUAUGACUACGGCUCGUACACUAUAUACUUAUGUAUGUACCGUUAGAAUACCGUUACUCCGCAAAGCCACAGACACAAGCACAAUAACGCGUCGUUACGGUUGUACCCCCGCACCGUAUAUUCAGAGAAUUACUUUGGAGUUCUAAGACCGUCUCUAAUCACUAUCCGCCCGCUGCAUGGAACGUUCAAAUCGCUGUAGACGCGCACCGAAAACUGAUGGCCCGACAUUCUUUUGGCAAGGACUUCACCAACAAGUUGCAAAAUUUUCGCCUCUGUGAGCACAUUCGAAAGCUUUACGCAAAGUUGGCAUUGAAAUUUCACGUCGACGCACGAAUGAACACAUUUCUGUAUGACAUACAUACAAACACAUAUACCGUAAGCAUGGUUUGGCGCUAGUGAAAGGGAGGCAUCAGUGCAUGGAGUGGGGAGGAGCGGAGCUUUUUCGCAACUUGUUGCCACUUUAGGAGCAGACGCAUGGAGCGAUUAUCGAAAACAGCUGUUGCAUAAACGUUUGCACCGUUGGUUGAGAGCGAUUGGCGGAUGAAGUUUGUUGUUGUUCGCAGUGAAAAACGCCGUCGGCGGCUUAAAAGGAAUUUUCACAGGUAAAAUGGUCUGGCAUAAUUCGUUCUGGCUGUGGCGUAUUUGUUGUAACAUAUCUCUGACCAUAAAACUCCUGCAGUUCUUUGCAAAACGAAGCGUUGUUGGAUACGUACUCGUCUACACCGAUUCAUCGAUUCAUCAAUACAUAUGUAUGUAUUUGUCACAUUUUUUCCGAUUGUCGUCUUUACUGAAGUGGGCAUUUGAAUUGGAUACUUGAAAUUGAAGUGUUACCUGGGGUUCAAAUGUGUGACUCGUUUUGCGUAGUUUUACAGCUUUAAAGUUUUCUGAUUUCAAUUUUUUUAAGUUAUAAGUGUUUUGUGGGGGGUAUAGGUAUUUGGCAGAAUCCGUUUGACUGAUUAGCUAGAUGAACUAAAAAAACGAUCUCGCCGUCUGACUUUACGAUACCUUCGACAGCUUUGAACCUAGUAGUUGAAAGUAUGAAAUAAUAUUUUAUAAGAAAAAUGUUGAAAAGAUUGGCUCAAAUUUUUAGGUAUUUUACUUUUUUUAAAUUAAAAGCAAAAUUUUCAUGUGGCGGCAAAGGAACAAAAACAGUUUUAAAUGAAACACCCUAAUAGUAUAUAUAUUUAUAGCAACAUACAUACUGGUAACGCAUUAGGAUACGGUUCCAACCGCCGUUGUCGACUCAAAAAUGGGUAGUGUAGUCGUUAUCAAAAACAAUUGAUGUUGAUAUAUUAUUUGAGAAAUUAGUACAAAUCUAUAUGUUAUUGUAUUAAUCAGAAUAAAAAAUUGUGAUCAUUUGAGAAUGAUAUUUCCG